rnacentral:lncRNA from 1 species
CUCGCCGCUCACACGCCCCCUGCGCGCCGGGCCCGUACACCGCCACCGGCACUCGGCGAGCCAGCCGGCCUUCGCCCGGCCGCUGGGCCGCCGCCUGGGCACCGCGCCGCGCCCGCCCUCCACCCGGCCGGCUCCUGUCCUCCCCGCCACAUCCUGACCCGCCUGCUGCCCCCUUUCUUACCGGCAGGCUUGGCGGGGCGGAGGGAGCCGACUCCAGUCGACGGCCUCCCCCGCGCCCAGGCCUGGGAUCUCCGCCGCCGAGGUCCUAGAGCUCCGGCGUCUCCGGAGCUAGCAGAGAGAGACAGCAUGUUCCAUUUAUGCUUUCUGGACUCCUGGGAUCCUAGAAGCCAGCUAAAGCACAUAGUUGUAGAAAGAGCUACUAGCUACAGAACAGAAGAGCCAAUCUUUCCUUGUGUAUUCUGCCAGAACAAAUUCUAGCUUUCCAUUGGCUGGCCCCAUUCCACCUCACUCCCGUGCCAGUAAUGUGGAACAAGUAACAGUUUCAUUUUUUAAGAAUGCUGUUGUAAAAUAAGGAGAGAAAAAUGGAGCUGAUUGAACCAUCAGAAUGCAAUGCAAGUCUGAUUCUGAGUGAAAAAGAGGAGUAAAAGAAGGAGGAAAGCAGGCAGGCAGGAAGAAUGAAAGACAGGUGGAAGCAUGUUUGACUGAAGUAAAGUCUAAGGAAAAGGAAUUUGUAAUUUGGAGAAAAAUUGUUAAUUUUUCUUUUUUCAUAGCCACAUCCAAUCUAUUACUAAUUCUUUUAGACUCACCUUCAAUAAAUAUGCCAAAUCCAGAACUUUUCACCAUUUUGAAACCAUCUUAAUCUCCUGUGUGGGUUAGCGCGCGCUCUCUCUCUCUCUCUCUCUCUCUCUCUCUCUCUCUCUCAGUCUUGGCCUGCGGCAACCUCCACCUCCUGGACUCAAGCGAUCCUCCCUUUAUUUCACUGUAUAGAAAAAUUAAUUCAAGAUAGAUUAAAGACUUAAAUGUAUGACCUGAAACAAUAAAAAUUCUAGAAGAAAACCUAGGAAAAACUCUUCUGAACAUUGGCCUAGGCAAAGAAUUCAUGACUAAGACCUUAAAGGCUAAUGCAACAACAACAAAAUAGACAAAUGGGACUUAAACUCAAAAGCUUCUGUACAGUAAAAGAGUCAGCAUAGCGAACAGAAAACUUGCAGAAUAGGAGAAAAUAUUUUCAAACUUUGCAUCCAGCAAAAGACUAAUGUC